GACGAACGCUGGCGGCGUGCUUAACACAUGCAAGUCGAACGGAAAGGCCCCUUUGGGGGUACUCGAGUGGCGCACGGGGGUGUAACACGUAAGUAACCUUGCCUUGACUUCGGGAUAACUUCAGGAAACUGGGGCUAAUACCGGCAAGGAAUCCUUGGUGCAAGGUGGGGGUUGGAAAGCUUCGGCGGUUUUGGAUGGACUGGCGGCUUAUCAGCUUGUUGGUGGGGUAGUGGCUUACCAAGGCGUUGACGGGUAGCCGGCCUGAGAGGGCGACCGGCCACAUUGGGACUGAGAGACGGCCGAGACGCCUACUGGAGGAAGCAGGGGGGAAUAUUGCACAAUGGGCGGAGGCCUGAUGCAGCAACGCCGCGUGCGGGAUGACGGCCUUCGGGUUGUAAACCGCUUUCAGCAGGAGCGAAGCUUGUGGUGACGGUACCUGCAGAAGAAGCACCGGCUAACUACGUG
rnacentral:rRNA from 1 species